rnacentral:misc_RNA from 1 species
GAACUCCAAAAAUUAAUUGAAAAUCAAAAAAAAGGAGGAAAAUAUCCUUAGUGGCGCAUAGUUUUUCUCUGAUUCUUCUUCGCACUCUUCAAUAGUUGGUCGAACAUGUUAGUAGUGCAACAAGCAAGCACAAUUGGCCCAUCGAUCUUGGAUUCGAGGUCAUAGUCCCGAGACUGCCUGAUCAAUUCUUGCAAUGGAGGAAACCUCAGAUUCUCCACUGGAACUUCGUAUCUUUUGGCCUCUUCACCCACGUACAUGCCAAUAUAGCCUCUUCGAGCUCGAAGUGGGGUUUUAUUCCCAUUGUCGGUCCUGGAGAGCAGCUCGUACGAAGACGAUGACUUGCUUGCGCCUAACAUCUUGACGAGUACUGAACCGAUUUUCCUUGCAAAAGUUCUUGGCGAUGGCAUGGCUGAUGAUCGUACAAUCUGAGACUUACAAAGAAUUAAACUUAGGGUUGAUGAG